CUUUGCAGGAGUCGGUGUUGCCCCGAGCACGGCAAGGAGCAGAGAUGAGCAGGUCUCUGAUGCCUAUUUUCUGAGGAUCGACCGUUUGAUGUUGAGAAGCAGCAGUGAGAAGAUAGCUCAGGGCAUUUUGUUCAGCAGAGUGUUUCAAAUAAGGGUUGCGGUCACUGUGCGA